GACGGAGGAUGCAAGCGUUAUCCGGAAUGAUUGGGCGUAAAGCGCGUGUAGGCGGCUUUGCAAGUCGGGUGUGAAAGCCCUCAGCUCAACUGAGGAAGUGCGCCCGAAACUGCAGAGCUUGAGUGCCGGAGAGGGUGGCGGAAUUCCCCAAGUAGAGGUGAAAUUCGUAGAUAUGGGGAGGAACACCGGUGGCGAAGGCGGCCACCUGGACGGUAACUGACGCUGAGACGCGAAAGCGUGGGGAGCAAACAGG
rnacentral:rRNA from 1 species